rnacentral:rRNA from 1 species
AAUGAACGUUGGCGGCGUGGAUUAGGCAUGCAAGUCGAACGGGUCCGGCUUCGGCCGGGCCAGUGGCGGAAGGGUGAGUAAGGCGACGGCAACCAACCCCGAGGUUGGGUAUAGCCGCGGGAAACUGCGGGUAAUCCCCAGCGACGUGACGACGCCGGCAUCGGCGUUUCACCAAAGGCUUCGGCCGCCUUGGGACGGGCCGUCGUGGUAUUAGGUAGUUGGCGGGGUUACGGCCCACCAAGCCUGUGAUGCCUACCGGGCGUGCGAGCGUGGCCCGGCACACUGGGACUGAGACACUGCCCAGACUCUUACGGGAGGCUGCAGUCGAGAAUCUUCGGCAAUGGGCGCAAGCCUGACCGAGCGACGCCGCGUGGAGGAUGAAGGCCUUCGGGUUGUAAACUCCUGUCGAGGGGGAGGAAGGGGCAACCUUGACCGAUCCCUGGAGGAAGCACGGGCUAAGUUCGUGCCAGCAGCCGCGGUAAGACGAACCGUGCGAACGUUAUUCGGAAUCACUGGGCUUAAAGCGCGUGUAGGCGGAUGGGAGCGUCGGAACCUGAAAGCCCCCGGCUCAACCGGGGAAGCGGGGCCGAAACGACCCGUCUGGAGGGACGUAGGGGAUCUGGAACUUCCGGUGGAGCGGUGAAAUGCGUUGAGGUCGGAAGGAACGCCCGUGGCGAAAGCGAGAUCCUGGACGUCUUCUGACGCUGAGACGCGAAAGCUAGGGAGCAAACGGGAUUAGAUACCCCGGUAGUCCUAGCCGUAACGAUGAGCACUAGUAGGGGCUCGCCGAUGGGCUCUCUGCCGUAGGAAACUGUGAGUGCUCCGCCUGGGGAGUAUGGUCAAUCACUAGUGCG